rnacentral:rRNA from 1 species
AUUGAACGCUGGCGGCAGGCCUAACACAUGCAAGUCGAACGAGUGGCGGACGGGUGAGUAAUGUCUGGGAAACUGCCUGAUGGAGGGGGAUAACUACUGGAAACGGUAGCUAAUACCGCAUAAUAUCGGAUGUGCCCAGAUGGGAUUAGCUAGUAUGUGGGGUAAAGGCUCACCUAGGCGACGCUCCCUAGCUGGUCUGAGAGGCUGACCAGCAACACUGGAACUGAGACACGGUCCAGACUCCUACGGGAGGCAGCAGUGGGGAAUAUUGCACAAUGGGCGCAAGCCUGAUGCAGCCAUGCCGCGUGUGUGAAGCAGGCCUUCGGGUUGUAAAGCACUUUCAGCGGGGAGGCGUUACCCGCAGAAGAAGCACCGGCUAACUCCGUGCCAGCAGCCGCGGUAAUUC